AACAAUUUAAAAACCGUAACCC
rnacentral:snRNA from 1 species